rnacentral:rRNA from 1 species
GAUGAACGCUGGCGGCGUGCUUAACACAUGCAAGUCGAACGAAGCACUUUAUUUGAUUUCCUUCGGGACUGAUUAUUUUGUGACUGAGUGGCGGACGGGUGAGUAACGCGUGGGUAACCUGCCUUGUACAGGGGGAUAACAGUUGGAAACGGCUGCUAAUACCGCAUAAGCGCACAGCAUCGCAUGAUGCAGUGUGAAAAACUCCGGUGGUAUAAGAUGGACCCGCGUUGGAUUAGCUAGUUGGUGAGGUAACGGCCCACCAAGGCGACGAUCCGUAGCCGACCUGAGAGGGUGACCGGCCACAUUGGGACUGAGACACGGCCCAAACUCCUACGGGAGGCAGCAGUGGGGAAUAUUGCACAAUGGGCGAAAGCCUGAUGCAGCGACGCCGCGUGAGCGAAGAAGUAUUUCGGUAUGUAAAGCUCUAUCAGCAGGGAAGAUAAUGACGGUACCUGACUAAGAAGCACCGGCUAAAUACGUG